rnacentral:lncRNA from 1 species
AAAAAAAAAAAAAAAAAAAAAAAAAAAAAAAAAUUAACACAGGAUAAUUAGUGUCACCGUUUAUUCCAAACUAGGCCAGCUGGGUUUCCAGCUUUUCUUCUACUGGUCUGAUGUUUUAUAAAUGGAAACCUGGUUUUUCUUCUCUGGCAUCUUCUUUUUUUUAUUAUUUUUUUAAAUUUUUAUUUUUGGCCAAAUAUUAUGUCUCACAGAGGGGGAAAAAAAAACUACAGACAAUUUCGGAUGUGAUUAGAUAUUCUUUUUUAAAUGCGGAUUUUCAAAACAUAUUUCCUUUCCAGUGUCCCUUUUGUGUCUGGCUUGCUGAGUAUAGAAGCUGUCACCUGGACGAUUCUGCUCCUCAGCUCCAAAGAAUCCUGGGGUCAACGUCCCAGGCCAGCCGCAUGGGACAUAUGUACAUAGGUCUUCGCAAUGUUCUCUUGUUACUGGUGCCGUUUUCUGCUUGUUUUUUUUUUUUGUUUUGUUUUGUUUUGUUUUUUGUUUUUUAUUUAAGAGAGAGAAAUGUGAUGUAUUUAAAGAAGGUCCUUUACCUAGGAGCGAAUGAACAAUAGCUGAAUGUCUUGGUAUUUAAAGUGUAAAUUAUCUAUGGCUUUGCCAAAUGAAGGGAGGGGGUGGGCAAGACAUGGAACUCCCCGGUCCCCACACACUUCGCACCCAAUGUGGGCUGGGGGGCUGCUCAGACUCCUGUGAAGGCACAGCUACAGUUGUGGCCUGAAGGAGGCCCAGCUGGGACUGUGUGCUCCCGGCCUUCUAGCCCCACAGCCCACAGACAUUGGUCUUGAGAGAGCCUUGGCUGUGUAUCAAUUACAAAGCCCUGCCAGCAAGGGGAUGGCACCACUGGAGCUCUUGCCAAAUCACUCUCAGCCCUGUAUUUGGUACCGGUGUGUCCCAGGUCAAUGUACAGAACUGCAGCCAAGGAGCUAAGAUGUAACAGAGAGAGAGAAGAGCUGGUGAACCAUAUAAAACUCAAAAGAUUGUCUACUUU